rnacentral:rRNA from 1 species
GACCCCUAAGGCGAGGCCGAAAGGCGUAGUCGAUGGGAAACAGGUUAAUAUUCCUGUACUUGGUGUUACUGCGAAGGGGGGACGGAGAAGGCUAUGUUGGCCGGGCGACGGUUGUCCCGGUUUAAGCGUGUAGGCUGAUUUUCCAGGCAAAUCCGGAAAAUCAAGGCUGAGGCGUGAUGACGAGGCACUACGGUGCUGAAGCAACAAAUGCCCUGCUUCCAGGAAAAGCCUCUAAGCAUCAGGUAACAUCAAAUCGUACCCCAAACCGACACAGGUGGUCAGGUAGAGAAUACCAAGGCGCUUGAGAGAACUCGGGUGAAGGAACUAGGCAAAAUGGUGCCGUAACUUCGGGAGAAGGCACGCUGAUAUGUAGGUGAAGCGACUUGCUCGUGGAGCUGAAAUCAGUCGAAGAUACCAGCUGGCUGCAACUGUUUAUUAAAAACACAGCACUGUGCAAACACGAAAGUGGACGUAUACGGUGUGACGCCUGCCCGGUGCCGGAAGGUUAAUUGAUGGGGUUAGCGGUAACGCGAAGCUCUUGAUCGAAGCCCCGGUAAACGGCGGCCGUAACUAUAACGGUCCUAAGGUAGCGAAAUUCCUUGUCGGGUAAGUUCCGACCUGCACGAAUGGCGUAAUGAUGGCCAGGCUGUCUCCACCCGAGACUCAGUGAAAUUGAACUCGCUGUGAAGAUGCAGUGUACCCGCGGCAAGACGGAAAGACCCCGUGAACCUUUACUAUAGCUUGACACUGAACAUUGAGCCUUGAUGUGUAGGAUAGGUGGGAGGCUUUGAAGUGUGGACGCCAGUCUGCAUGGAGCCGACCUUGAAAUACCACCCUUUAAUGUUUGAUGUUCUAACGUUGGCCCGUUAUCCGGGUUGCGGACAGUGUCUGGUGGGUAGUUUGACUGGGGCGGUCUCCUCCUAAAGAGUAACGGAGGAGCACGAAGGUUGGCUAAUCCUGGUCGGACAUCAGGAGGUUAGUGCAAUGGCAUAAGCCAGCUUGACUGCGAGCGUGACGGCGCGAGCAGGUGCGAAAGCAGGUCAUAGUGAUCCGGUGGUUCUGAAUGGAAGGGCCAUCGCUCAACGGAUAAAAGGUACUCCGGGGAUAACAGGCUGAUACCGCCCAAGAGUUCAUAUCGACGGCGGUGUUUGGCACCUCGAUGUCGGCUCAUCACAUCCUGGGGCUGAAGUAGGUCCCAAGGGUAUGGCUGUUCGCCAUUUAAAGUGGUACGCGAGCUGGGUUUAGAACGUCGUGAGACAGUUCGGUCCCUAUCUGCCGUGGGCGCUGGAGAACUGAGGGGGGCUGCUCCUAGUACGAGAGGACCGGAGUGGACGCAUCACUGGUGUUCGGGUUGUCAUGCCAAUGGCACUGCCCGGUAGCUAAAUGCGGAAGAGAUAAGUGCUGAAAGCAUCUAAGCACGAAACUUGCCCCG